AGAAACGGACUAAAGCAACAAAUGAGCUGAAGCAAUAAAACACGCUGGUCAAAAAUGGGCGGGUCAAAAACCCAUGCCAUAUCAGUUUCAAUUAAACGUGUUCUCUCACUCUUCCCUCUCUCUCUCUCUCAAAGCUUCCUUUCCCUCUCCCUCUCUCAAAGCGAGCCUGAAGCAAAUCGGAAGGCAAGAAGGAAUUCGAACAGGUUCUGUUGCAAAUCGAAAGCGGAAGGUUCCUACAAAGAGAAUCAUAAGGUAAAGAUUACUACUUAAUUUUGUAAUUUCUGUUUGAUUUGAAAGAUCUAGGGUUUGUUUUGGGGGAAAGUGUAUUGGUGAUUUUGUUCUCUGUUUACAAGCCCCACCACACAAAGCGGUAGUAGCCACAGGCAAGAAAUUUGAAAAAGUCUUUUCUUCCUUAUCUAGCUUGUAUGUACUGUACGUGAUGCGCAUAUAUUGUCCCUUUACAUAAUUGCAAUUGCUCUAUAUAUUUAGCUAUCUUGGAUUAGGUUUGUAUUUCUAAUUCCAAUCAUAAUUUUUUGAGUUUUUUGAUAUUAUUAUGUGAAUUUGAUUUGGAAGUUAUAGUUCUUUAAUCCCUGCUUUAGGCUCUUAUUUUUUUUCUUGUUUUUUAUGUUAUGUUGUGUUUCAUUGUUUUGGAAUUUUUUGGUAUGUUCCUAUUGUUCAUUUUCGUCUUCAUAUUAACUCCUUGAUGAAAUGCCUCAAGUUUACUGAAAUGGGGAUAGAUGUAGUGGUGUGAGGGUCUCUCUCUUAUUGAUACAUACUUAAGCAGCUUAUGGUUAUCAUGCUAUCUGCAAACUAUUUACCCUCAAGAUAAUAUUUGCUAACAAAGAAAUGCAUGAUCAUGGAGGUUUCAAACCAACACAUUCUAUUUAUGAAGCUAAGGCAGCAACAUUAUAUAUGUAGUGUAGAGAAGGCAGAGUAGAUGAACCAGUAGAAGUGAAAAAUUUGUGUGAUGAAAUAAAAUCUGCAUUUGGCUGUUGAGUAAUUGAAGAUCUCUAACCAGGUGGUGGGCUCUUAAUUAAGCCCCUGUUUAUGAGUUUUAUUUUAAGUGGAAAAGGAAAGUUCUUCCUUUAUUUUUAGGCGAAAUAUGUAGUAGUAUUAAAGAGUAGAAUUUUUAAAUGAAAACUGGUGUUCUUAAAUGAGAAUUGUUUGUACGGUUGUUAAUAGUCUAUUGAAAUUUGUUUGUACUAAUAUUACAGUAAUAUAAGUUUUAGAGAUUUUUUUAUAUCUAACAAGAUGACGUAAUUCAUUCAAAUAUACAAUUUGGAAUUAUUGUUGAUCUUUUUUAUGCAUGUCUGCUAAUAGAAAAUAUGUCAUCAGAUUCGUCUAUUGCUACAUCCGUAUGGCCUCCGUUCAUAUGUCAUUGUGGUACGGGCCCUUGUAUAGUAAAACUUUCAAUGUCGGAAAAGAAUUUGGGUAGACACUAUUAUUCUUGCCCAAGAAUGGUAUGUAUUUAUGUAUUGCAAUUUUUAUAUAUUUGUUCCUUUUACAUAAGUGAAUAAAUUUAUUGUGUCCCAAAAUAUGCAGCAAUGUGGUAACUUCAUCAGCUGGUGUGACGAAUAUGUUAGACUGUUGCAUAAUCAAGGGAGGUUGCAAAUGGACACAUCCGAGCGUUUAAAUGUAACAACUCAUCCAACAAAUACUAACGACUCCAACGAAUUAGCGAUGGUGACGAUUGAAAUGCGUUAAUUGCAACUAACUCAACGAUUUGUCAUAAUUGUUAAUGUUAUGUAUGCGGUGUUGUUGUUAAUGUUAUUAAAUCGGUUGUAAUUUUGAUAAUUUUCAUUAUUUAACUAACACAUUAUGUAUGAGAUUGGUGGAUUUAUAGGUAUUGAAUGAGAUUUCCUACUAUGUUGGUUUUACAGUAGUAGUACUUUAAAUUAAGGAACUUGGCUUCAUUCUUUAAGAUGCCUUUAAGAAAACAUUCUUCGGUAUUCAUUUCAUGUGGAGGAAUUGGCUGGAAUUUGAAUUUCUCCAAUAUAAAAUGCUGCUCACCAUUCCCGUCCAACGCCCUCAUUUAUGGUCCAAACAUGCGCACUUGUUAUAAAGGCAAUAUUCUUUUUGCAUGCUCAUUUGCAAAGCUAAGAUGCUUACAAGGAU
rnacentral:lncRNA from 1 species